UCUCUCUCUCUCUCUCUCUCAUGAGAAUCCCUCAAGGACCCAACUCAGAUCUGACCAAAACUGCCAUCCUGUUUUAUCUCUACUCAUUAGAUUGAUGGAAAGAGCAACCAUCACGUCUACAUCAAAUUCCUAAACUUGGAAUGGGGAAACCACAACGCUUUUCAAUCCUACACAUGCCAAUAAUCUCAAGUGUUUGGUUUCAAUUCGAGGCAAAGGACGAUCAGAUGAAGGCUUCAAGGACCUAAUCAUAUUCGCCCAUUCACCAUCAAGGACGACAAGGGUUGUCACUCUUCAAGCCAAAGUCUCCACUUUCUUAUGUCAAUUCAAUGGAGAUGUUUGAUUGCAAAAUAUAAUGAAGGCUAUGAAAGGUUGUGCUUCUGUUCCGAAAUCUAUACUUCACUCGAUAAUUGAGCUUACUCUGAGCUUAGCAAUACAUCUAGUUGUAGAAGGCGCUCAUGCUUUUCUACCUUGAACCAAUUUUGAAGUGGGUCAAAGUCAUACACAACAUGUGGAGCAUGAUUACCCUGGUUAUUAUGUCAGGGGUGAGCUUUAUGUACUAUAAGUCUAUAAUUAAUGUCUUCUGGAAAUUUCUAACAGAGUUGGAAUUGUAUUAGAUUUUCUCAAAAACAAUGAAGGUUCGGCUGGUAUUCAUGGUAAUUGGUCAUGUGGUUGAAUAGUAUCAUACAUGUUCAAUUUCAUGAUGGAAUGGACUGAUAAGGUAUGUCAAUUUCGUCUUUACCAUUCUCUUUUUCUUUCACAUAAGACUGUUAAUAUCCAUUGUCAACAGCAUGCCCAUUCAGUAACAUUGUUAUGGUUGUUAACCAUUUCCAGCUUAACGAUUAUGUUGGUAGAAGACCUACAGUGCUAGAGACCAAGGGGCGAACUUAGAUUAUGACUUUUUUGGUAUUGUUUCAUACAGUUCCACGCUAUAUAAUCUAACAAACUAAUUAUAACUUAAGUGUUUUUCUUUUAGGUUGAGAGGCCAGAGAAAUUGAAAAUAACGACCGCAGAAGGUAAAAAUAUUUUGAACAUUUCGAAUGCAUGGACUACGUGAUUGCUUAUAAGGGAUAUGUAGGUGUUAUGGAAGCUUAGUUUAAAACUUUUCUAUUUGUAUCCAAACUUAGUGUGUAUACUUGAUCAAUUUGAAGUAUCAAUGUAUAUGUACAUUGUAUAUUUAAAUGUUAAGGCCAAUUCUUAUUGAGUUGUUGCUGCUAUACAUUCUUUAAUUUAUUGAAAUGUG